UUUAAUGCACCCCUAUUGCAAAAGGUUGUAGUAACAGAUAAGAGGUAGAAGGGAUGGAGUAGGUAAAAUAAUUUACUGUGCUUUAGGAGUUUUCAUUUUGUGAGUUAUGUGCAGGUGUGUGAGAAAGGAGUGGGGUGAUUUGGGAGAACUGAUGGGGAAGAGAUUGCUUUUACAGCAAUCUGCUCAAGAAAAUCCUUUUUUUUUUUUUCUUUGUAUUUCAUCAGAAUAAUCGGUUGAUAAUAGCUACUAAUAGGUACGUGCUUUGCUGGGGAAUAGGAAUAGGCAGGUGGUGGCAUAGGGAAGCUUUCUGUGCACAGGUGUUCCUGGAUGUUGGUGAAAGGAAGCAGUCAGGCAGGAAACAGGUAGAUAUGCCAGGGAAUUGGGCUGGCCAGAGAAUGUGGCAGGGAUCAGGCUGAUGACACUCACACCUCUGUUAUUCUAGUGGGGGGAGUAGUUUAGUGUAGACUUAAAUUAAUUUUCUCUGAGAUCAGAGUCUGGCUUCAUUGCCAGGCUAACACACUACUUUGGAGAUCUGCUUUAGCUGGAGACCCUAAAUGGCACUGUCUUUGAAAAAUGGCUCUGAGUCACAAGUGAAGUUCUUGAGGAGGGGAAAAGGAAAGGGGCAGGAGUGUGAGAUGUUUCCCUGAUAGAUAUUAGCAUCCUCUAUAGUUUAUAACCAGUGUGGAAGCAAAAGGAAGAGUGCUUUUUUCUCCUUUCCCUCCCAGUCCACACCUUCCUCCCAAGGUCUGGAUGGGCAUUUGAAGAAUAGGAUGACUGUCUUGCUUUCUGGGCUGAUAGAUGAGCAUCUCAAGGCAGGAUUAUAAAUAUGGGUUCUAAGGAGAGGGGGAGUACAAAUGGCUGUAUAAAUUUGGACAAGAAACAGGAUUGAAAAAUGAGCAAAAUACAGCACAACAUCAGACCUUUGGGCAAGUGCUACUUCUACAAAUUCAUUUUCAUUAUGUCUUUGUUUUCAAAUGUGUUUAUGAUUUAAAGGAAGGGAAGAAACAGAACACGAGUCCCAAAGUCUGCAUUUGCUUUGCAAUUUUAACCUUGCCAGCUGAUGAUUUUUGCCUUGCCAUUUUAAAGGGGCAUGGGAAUAUCCCCAUUGUUGUUUUCUUAGGACAAAAUGGGCUUCUUGCUGAAGUGAGUAUUCGAGCUGUGCCCCAAAGUCUCCAUGUGGCUGCACAUGCCACACCAUAUAUGUCAGAGCUGAGGUGAGAAAAAUUUCCUAAAGGAUGGCAGUGAAAGCAAGAUGUUCAGGGAAGCCUCCAGGACCUGUAGCUCCCCAGGAAUUUGAUGGCUGAUGAGCUCCCACUCACAAAAGGGUUUAGCAGCAGUCCCGCAUCCCCACAUCCAUUCAAGCUGAAGGCCAAGCCAUCCUGCUGGCUAGUGGCUGUCCUGCUGACUCUUGCAAAGGUGGUAUUGUUGGUACCCUAUUUGGUAGUGAAUGAGUCUUCAGACAUCUUAAAUUUAGUCAGCAUUCAUUUUGUAUCAGUUCUCAAAAAUAAUUUUCUUUGAGUGUGUGAGCUGCCUUGUUCUCCUAACCAUUGUUCAUCCUCAGCAGGAUAUUGAUCUGCUUGUUGCCUUCCUGCCUGCUUUUCUCCAUGCCUUUUGUAGUAAUCCUAUGCCUGUAAUUUGUAGAUCAUCCCAUUUCACUUAAAAUUAGUUCCAUAUGAUUGCAGAUUUUAUAACAUUUGCAGAUUGGUUACAGCACAUUAACUAUUUUCUUCUCAUAUCCUAAUGACUAAUCAACAAAAUUGGCUACAGAGCAAUGAAGUAUCAUAUAUGUGGGUUUCUGUGCUCUUUACUCUGGCAUGAAACAGUCUCAUGUUCAGAGAGAGACUAAUUUUUUCCAGAAGAUAAUCAAAUGUGCUUUCCAAAAAUGUGCACUCAGGUUCUGUCUUCCUCAUCAGUGCUAUGAGUAGUUUAUGAGGUGGAAAAAGAAAAAAAAAGGCUUUUUCCUUUUCAAAUUCUCAGACAGCUGAACACUGAAGUUGUGCUGGUGAUGUUGCCAUUUGCCUCCCAACACCCGCCCAGUGUAAAAGUGUCUGUGCUGGCACCUCACUGCUAUACCUGAAUUUCUCUUCUGCCAGAGCACACAGCAGUGAGAGUCCCUGGUGCCGCCUGUAGCUGUCAUAAAUUAGGCACAGUAAUGUUAUGGUGAUUUAUACUACCUCAAGAACUGCUUUGGAGUGCUGGCAUCUUUCCACAGUAAUUUUUUUUUAUUUUAAAAACUUUGCCAUCAGUGCUUUGCAGGCCCAUUGCAUUUCUCAGGCCCAGACCUCCUGUGUCCCAUGGGCUCUUCGUUUGCCUUCCUCUUUGUCAAUGCCACUUCUUGAUGGAUCAGAAGGAAUGUUUGCCUGGCUUUAUUUAAAGUUCUGUCCUAUAGUUAAUGCAGAUUCUCUGUGCAGAGGGCUGAGGCUGCAUCUCUCAUGUUCAGGAAGGCAGGACUGGAAAUGGAUUAGUCUUUUUUUUCAUUGGGUGAGCUUGUGGGGCUCCCAUUGACAAGUUGCUUUGUGCAAAAGACUUGGGAGUUUCUAUUGCUGCAUCAUUUGGUUCUGCUCCCAAAGGGAAUACAUUAUGCUUUCCAGUGCUGUCUGACCAUGCUGUCCUGGAAGAAGAGAAGUAGCUGGGACUAGAUCCAGAACCCUUUGGGAGCAGUGCAAGAUGCUAGUCUUGAACUCACUGCUGCUGGCCUUGUCCGUGCUUGCAGAGAUGGAUCAUCCAGGAGGAUUCCCUCUGGCUGCAGUCUCAUAUCUCCUUCUAAAUAGCCCAAGUGCAAGCACCAGCCAGCGGCUGUGGGAGGGCUCUUACUGACGUGUAUGAGGAUGAAGAGCAACUGAAUGGAGGACUUGGACCCACGAGGUGCUGGAGCAGGAACUGCAGGCUGAUGGUAAUGCCUCCAUGGUGGUAGGGGCAGGCAGUGAUCGGCUGGUUGCAGCCCAGGUUGGUCACCCAGGGUGGGUUUUACAGCUUCAGAAGGUGACUGGAGAGAGUUAAUCAAAAUACUUGGGUCUGCAGAGUUCAAAUUGAGAUGUUUCUGUCUCCUUCCUCUCCCCUCUCCUGAUUCUUUUUUGACAGAUCCUUUCUUAAGGAAAUUAUAACUCUUAAGAGGAGUAACUUGGGACUUUGCAAAGUACCUUUUUUGGCUUUACCACCUCAAUCUCUAAGAGCUAAAUACAUUACUCAAAGUAAAUGUACAAGAGGAUUAUUUGUUAAAGCUGUCUGCUGAUUUUUAAACUUUUUAUUCUUCUUUCCAUUUUGAGCCACUUUUUUACCACCAUCUCUUAGGGCAUGUCCAGUGCUCUGGGAUCUGUGAAUGUUGCUUGUUCCAAGACACCAACACCUCACAGGACCCAAAUUAAGUGAAGACACUUGGGAUAUUAUUAAUUUCAACACCCUGUAGGCUGUUGGUGUAGAUGGCUCCGAGGCAGAGGCACAUUUGGUGUAGGUUGACUGACAAGGGCCCUGACACAAACCUUUAGCCUCCUUAGGGCAGGAGUUGGUCCAAGUCCACAGCAAGGAGGUUGUUGCUCUCUGGGAUCCCUGGGUGAAAGGAACUCUAUAAACACACCAUCAUUUAAUUUACAUUGAACAAAACAGUGACUUCAGCGUCUUUAUUACUGUAUCUCUUCUGCUGAGCUGUAUAAAUAGCAGACUUAUUUCUAUAGUAUUUUUCUUCUGGUGUCUAUGCUGGUGUAAGGUAAGAUUGGUUUAGUGGAUAAAAGAACACUUAAUUUUCCCUUGCUGGACUUGGGAGAGGCACACUCUUGGAAUGGCUUUCAAUGUGAUGACUGACAGUCCAUCUGUGCUGUGGGUGGUAUGAGAAGCAUCACCAUCUGCACGUGUGUGAGGCACAUCACCGUCCUUAUGUAAGAGAAGUCACCUCCCCCAGCGUGUCCCUCCUGAGGGGCUUUCAGCCAAACCCUCUGCUAGCGUGGGGCUGGCUGCAACACAGAGAGCCAUGGUGAAUUUACACUGAUUGAGGGCCUAGCCCUGCUUGUCACCCUCUCAAGUUGUCCCUUCAGAACAUGCUGAUUACUAAAUUAAUUGUUGGCACGUUCAGACAGAUGCAUGGAAUAGCCUCCUGUUUGCUCAAAAUAACUUGGCAACAGUCGCCACCUUUAAAUGCCACUUAGUCCUGCCAUUUCCAAGUGUGCUGCCUUUAAAAUUUAAUCGAGUUUCCCUUUGUUGGGUGUGCAUUCAAAGCUCGCUCCAAUUGCCCGAUUUACCUUCCGGGUUAGCCGUGUCCCUGUAUGCAUAAUGUAGCAUCUGCCAACAGAUCCACUCAGGGUAACAUCUCUGUUCCCUGCCCUAGAGACUCCCUGCUCCUUUGUCUCUCCUUGCUUUAAUGUUCUCCUGGCCUCUAGCAAUAGCCAGCCAGCGUGUGGGGAAGGUGGAUGGAGGUGGGACAGUCUGCAGGCAUUCCAUCCCCAGCAGCACUGUUGUUUUCCUGCUCUGGGUUUCCAGCAGUGUUAUCCUGCGGAUGUUCCUAGCAGUGUGAUGUUUCUGUGAUGAGUCAAUUCGUCCUGCUUUUUCAGCCCUGCCGGGUCCCUGUGGCUAUCCACAAAUAGGUAGUGGGGCAGCAGCUGCUCAGUGGGCUCCGAUGGGUCUCCUGCUUUGGGGUGAUUUCACCUGUGCUAACAACCAGAACCUUUCCCCACCUGCCAGCCCCAGGGGCCAGGUCUGCUUGUGGGGUGGCAAGGUGUGACAGACCUGGGUGAGGAGACACAAGCUCAGGCUGCUGCUCAAGCUGCCUAGCAGGGUAGAGGCACUAGUGGCCAUCUGGCCGAGGUUUUCAUGAAAUGUGUCUGGUUUUUUUGUGGGAUUCUCACUCCAAGAAAUGUGGAGGAGAAGUAGGUGGCAUGUGGAGGAGUAAUCUGAAGUGAAUUACUGAAAUAUCUCUAUUUUUUAGGUAAGACACCAGUGGAGGACUGUAGAUCAAAGCCUUUUGUUUUGGCACAGGACUCCAAGAUUUGCUGUUUGUACAAGUUCUCAUCCCAAUCCUGCUCCUUUGUUUCAAGGAUUUAUAUCAUUCUCCAUUACUUUGUCCUUUUUAUUUGCUCUUUUUUAGAUUCCAUCUUCUGUUUUGCCAUUAGAAGAUCAAAAAUCUGAGCCGGACUUCAGGCAGAGGGGAGCAGGGGGAGAGCUCCAUGAGAAAACAUGUGUGUGUCUCCAGCUGAGGCCAGGAAGCUCCUGACAGCAGUGCUUCUGCAGGAUGCUGCCCAGUGCUGCCCUCCAUAUUUCAUAAGCAUUCUUUUUCAUCUCUUUCCUUCUGACAGAGAAAGGUGCUUUCCUCCACACA
rnacentral:lncRNA from 1 species